rnacentral:rRNA from 1 species
CCAGACUCCUACGGGAGGCAGCAGUGGGGAAUAUUGCACAAUGGGGGAAACCCUGAUGCAGCGACGCCGCGUGAAGGACGAAGUAUUUCGGUACGUAAACUUCUAUCAGCAGGGAAGAAAAUGACGGUACCUGACCAAGAAGCCCCGGCUAACUACGUGCCAGCAGCCGCGGUAAUACGUAGGGGGCAAGCGUUAUCCGGAUUUACUGGGUGUAAAGGGAGCGUAGACGGCCAUGCAAGUCUGAUGUGAAAACCCGGGGCUCAACCCCGGGACUGCAUUGGAAACUGUGCGGCUGGAGUGUCGGAGAGGCAAGUGGAAUUCCUAGUGUAGCGGUGAAAUGCGUAGAUAUUAGGAGGAACACCAGUGGCGAAGGCGGCUUGCUGGACGACGACUGACGUUGAGGCUCGAAAGCGUGGGGAGCAAACAGGAUUAGAUACCCGCGUAUA